GAUGAAGAACGCAGCGAAAUGCGAUAAGUAAUGUGAAUUGCAGAACUCAGUGAAUCAUCGAAUCUUUGAACGCACAUUGCGCCCGCCAGUAUUCUGGCGGGCAUGCCUGUUCGAGCGUCAUUACAACCCUCAGGCCCCCGGGCCUGGCGUUGGGGAUCGGCGGAGCCCCCCGUGGGCACACGCCGUCCCCCAAAUGCAGUGGCGGUCCCGCCGCAGCUUCCAUCGCGUAGUAGCUAACACCUCGCGACUGGAGAGCGGCGCGGCCACGCCGUAAAACACCCAACUCUUCUGAAGUUGACCUCGAAUCAGGUAGGAAUACCCGCUGAACUUAAGCAUAUCAAUAAGCGGAGGA
rnacentral:misc_RNA from 1 species